rnacentral:ncRNA from 1 species
UCCAGAAAAAGGCAAACCAUCUGAAAAGGUGGGACGCAAAGACACAGGUCUAAUGUUGGAACUCCAACGAUGACGGCUGGUCCUCCUGG